rnacentral:tRNA from 1 species
ACUUCCAAAGGAUAAUAGCAAUCCAAUGGUCUUAGGAACCACUAAUCUUGGUGCAAAUCCAAGUGGAAGUA